AAGGAGUCUAACAUCUAUGCGAGUGUUUGGGUGUCAAACCCCUAUGCGUAAUGAAAGUGAACGGAGGUGAGAAUCGGAAGGUGCAUCAUCGACCGAUCCUGAUGUCUUCGGAUGGAUUUGAGUAUGAGCAUAGCUGUUGGGACCCGAAAGAUGGUGAACUAUGCCUGAAUAGGGUGAAGCCAGAGGAAACUCUGGUGGAGGCUCGCAGCGGUUCUGACGUGCAAAUCGAUCGUCAAAUUUGGGUAUAGGGGCGAAAGACUAAUCGAACCAUCUAGUAGCUGGUUCCUUC
rnacentral:misc_RNA from 1 species